rnacentral:tRNA from 1 species
GCCGGCCUAGCUCAAUUGGUAGAGCAUCUGACUUUUAAUCAGAAGGUCAGAGGUUCGAAUCCUCUGGCCGGCACCA